rnacentral:rRNA from 1 species
GUGCCAGCCGCCGCGGUAAUACGUAGGGUGCAAGCGUUAAUCGGAAUUACUGGGCGUAAAGCGUGCGCAGGCGGUGAUGUAAGACAGAUGUGAAAUCCCCGGGCUCAACCUGGGAACUGCAUUUGUGACUGCAUUGCUGGAGUGCGGCAGAGGGGGAUGGAAUUCCGCGUGUAGCAGUGAAAUGCGUAGAUAUGCGGAGGAACACCGAUGGCGAAGGCAAUCCCCUGGGCCUGCACUGACGCUCAUGCACGAAAGCGUGGGGAGCAAACAGGAUUAGAUACCCUGGUAGUCCACGCCCUAAACGAUGUCAACUGGUUGUUGGGGAUUAACUUCCUCAGUAACGAAGCUAACGCGUGAAGUUGACCGCCUGGGGAGUACGGCCGCAAGGUUGAA